GGUAACUUCGUUUUCUGGGUU
rnacentral:sRNA from 1 species